GAAAAAAAAAAAAAAAAAAAAAAAAAAAAAAAAAAAAA
rnacentral:ribozyme from 1 species